rnacentral:rRNA from 1 species
GACGAACGCUGGCGGCGUGCCUAACACAUGCAAGUCAACUUGACUGAAGGAGCAAUCUGACAGUAGAGUGGCGCAAGGGUGCGUAACGCGUAAGUAACUUGCCCAAGGUAAGGAAUAACGUCGAGAAAUCGGCGCUAAUACCUCAUAAUGCAGCGGAUCCGCAUGGAUAUGUUGUUAAAGGUUUACCGCCUUGGGAUAGGCUUGCGUCUGAUUAGCUAGUUGGUGUGGUAACGGCACACCAAGGCUACGAUCAGUAACUGGUCUGAGAGGAUGAUCAGUCACAUUGGAACUGAGACACGGUCCAGACUCCUACGGGAGGCAGCAGUGAGGAAUAUUGGGCAAUGCUCGAAAGAGUGACCCAGCAACGCCGCGUGGAGGAUGAAGGUAUUCUAUAUCGUAAACUCCUGUGAGAGCAGACGAAGACAGAUUAUUAAUCUGGAUGACUGUAUGCUCAGAGGAAG